rnacentral:sRNA from 1 species
GUUCGAUAAUAUCAAUAAAUUGGUGUGCAUUUUCGAAGAUUAAGGUUCGAAUCUUUCAAUUCGUUCGUCGUGACUCGAAGUACUGGCCUGACUCGAGCUCUGACACAUGUGUAGUUCGAGCUCAGAGAGUCUGUGCUCCACAUCCCAUUGCUGUCUGUGUAAUUUUGCCGUCAUGGAGGCGUUCUCAGUUUCCAAGGAAACCAAUCGUUCCCUAAGCGUGUUGAUUUCUUUCAGGAGAACGUCAUUAGGUGUGUCGUACGAGAAACUUUGUGGACUGACCGAGCCGUAGUUGGAUAUGUUAUACCCGGGGGACACAGGAAGCAGGGUUGGCUGGGGGUGGGCCUGUGGUGACAGGUUAAUAUGGGAGGAGGAGAGGUUGUCUGAUCGACUAGUGGCAAGACUCGGCGAAGACAGAGGAUUCAUUGUAUUGGACACACAGUAUGGAGACAGAAAGUUCAUUUGUUGAGGAUGGUUUUGAAAUGGAUAUGUAUGAGCAUACGUAAAACUCAAGGGAGAUAACUGUGCCGGACUUCCGAUUGCGUUAGUGAGGAUAGGGGUGGCCGCGCUGAUAGUAGGGAUGUUUGGUGUUUGGCACAAACUUCUGGGUGAGAUCGGCGGACUAUAGCCCGGAAGUCGAAAGGAAUUAUGGGAGGUUGUUGUAACUCCAACUAAAGUGUGUGGUGACGUCAUCGUCCCUACAUUCAGAACAUCACAAUUAUCAUUAGUUUCUUUUGAGUACUGUUCAGCAGUUGUUUCAGCAUGAGCAUUUUCACCCGUUUCCAUGGAAUUUUCAUCAUGAGUCUCUUCAUCGCCACUAGAUGGCGACUGUUUUGGAAGACCUGCCGGAAGUGUGUGGUGACGAGUUAUCAUCAUCGCUUCUAAAGGAAUUUUGCCGGAUGACUCUACAAGUCCCGGAGUACUUUUGCUUCUUGCCAAAGCUAGAGAAAAAAGUACAAUUUAAAAAUCUGAUUUUUCCAUGUUAAGGACAAACUACAUCCAGUUUUUACGUUAAAAUAUUUAUGAUAUGUGUCUGCUUUAUGCUGUUCUUAAGGUGGCUCUAUACACCCACGGUUUAUUCCAAUUUUCAAUAGAAGACAACAAAACAUAUACUUAUCAAAUAAAUAUAAAAAUGAUAAUAGUGAUGCUACAGGUAUUUUUUUUUACGAAUGUUUUAAAAAAAUUUCGUGUUUUUGUAAAAUGAAUUUCAAAAAUUUAACUAUAAACAAAUUGAAAGAAUUUUUUGUCAAAUGAUGGAUACAUCCUUCAGACACAUACAUAAAAAUAUAACACUUCAUAACAUAUCAAAAAUUUAAUUUUUGCAAUUUUUAUAGUAUUUCUUGAAAUCAUACAUUGUGAUUUUUCAUAUCUUCUUACUCUGUUGACAAAUCAUCUAGAAAAGCUGCUUAAUGUUAUAAGAAAAUGUAUUUUAAUAAGUGUAACAUAAAAAUGAAUGAAAAUCAUUGCAAAUAAACACCAAAAAAAUUAUAAUUUUAUUUUGUAUGAAAGUUCCUGAAGAAACUAUCUAUAAAAUUAUACUUGCUUAUUGUUUAUUUCGAUAAAUAAUACAAUACAGCAUAAGGUGUCCCAUACUACCUUACACGUAAAUAAUGAUUUUUUGAAUUAUCGAAUUAUAUCUAUUUAUUUAUCUUUUUUUUCAAAAGAGCGGUCCCUAUACAAUUCGCCUCCGUUGAAAUCGGCCAGUACCGGAAUAACAUGCCUCCAGAUUUACUUUUUUGCGUACUGCGUUAUCAAAAAGUGAUGUAUAGAGCAACCUUAACGAGAAACACUGAAUAUGCUUAUUUCUGAUAUAUGUUAAAAACGUUAGGAGGGGUUAUCUGUACAAUAGGGGUACCAUUUUUGCAGCCAUCCGACCGUCAUGUUCACAAUAUCAAUUAUUUUUCAUUCAAUGGCAUGUGAAUUAUUUAGGUAUUUUUUUCUCUUCUGAGAUAAAGGUUUCUAACAUAC